rnacentral:piRNA from 1 species
UGGUAGUAUUCAUAUGAGGAGCAC